rnacentral:rRNA from 1 species
GCCUGAUCAGCCUUGCCGCGUGUGUGAAGAAGGCCUUUUGGUUGUAAAGCACUUUAAGCGAGGAGGAGGCUACCGAGAUUAAUACUCUUGGAUAGUGGACGUUACUCGCAGAAUAAGCACCGGUUAACUCUGUGCCAGCAGCCGCGGUAUUACUGAGGGUGCGAGCGUUAUNCGGAUUUCCUGGGCGUAAAGCGNGCGUAGGCGGCUUUUUAAGUCGGAUGUGAAAUCCCUGGAGCUUAACUUAGGAAUUGCAUUCGAUACUGGGAAGCUAGAGUAUGGRARAGGAUGGUAAAAUUCCAGGUGUAGCGGUGAAAUGCGUAAAGAUCUGGAGAAAUACCGAUGGCGAAGGCAGCCAUCGGGCCUAAUACUGACGCUGAGGUACGAAAGCAUGGGGAGCAAACAGGAUUAGAUACCCGGGUAGUCCAUGCCGUACACGUAUGUCUACUAGCCGUUUGGGGCCUUUGAGGCUUUAGUGGCGCAUCUAACGCGAAUAAGUACACCGCCUGG